rnacentral:tRNA from 1 species
GCCCGCAUAGCUCAGUGGUAGAGCAUUGUACUUAUGAGGAUAACUAAUCCAUGCUACAUGCAAGGGUCUCCAGUUCGAUCCUGGGUGGGGGCA